rnacentral:rRNA from 1 species
GAUGAACGCUGGCGGCGUGCCUAAUACAUGCAAGUCGAGCGAACGGACGAGAAGCUUGCUUCUCUGAUGUUAGCGGCGGACGGGCGAGUAACACGUGGAUAACCUACCUAUAAGACUGGGAUAACUUCGGGAAACCGGAGCUAAUACCGGCUAAUAUUUUGAACCGCAUGGUUCAACAGUGAAAGACGGUCUUGCUGUCACUUAUAGAUGGAUCCGCGCUGCAUUAGCUAGUUGGUAAGGUAACGGCUUACCAAGGCAACGAUGCAUAGCCGACCUGAGAGGGUGAUCGGCCACACUGGAACUGAGACACGGUCCAGACUACUACGGGAGGCAGCAGUAGGGAAUCUUCCGCAAUGGGCGAAAGCCUGACGGAGCAACGCCGCGUGAGUGAUGAAGGUCUUCGGAUCGUAAAACUCUGUUAUUAGGGAAGAACAUAUGUGUAAGUAACUGUGCACAUCUUGACGGUACCUAAUCAGAAAGCCACGGCUAACUACGUG